CCUACGGGGGGCAGCAGUGAGGAAUAUUGGUCAAUGGGCGGAAGCCUGAACCAGCCAAGUCGCGUGAGGGAAUAAGGCCCUACGGGUCGUAAACCUCUUUGGCCGGGGAGCAAGGUCGGGGACGUGUCCCGGCCCGGAGAGUACCCGGAGAAAAAGCAUCGGCUAACUCCGUGCCAGCAGGCGCGGUAAUACGGAGGAUGCGGGCGUUAUCCGGAUUUGUUGGGUUUGAAGGGUGCGUAGGCGGGCUUUUAAGUCGGCGGUAAAAAUUCGGGGCUCAACACUGUCCGGCCGUUGAAACUGGGCGCGUUGAGUGGGCGAGAAGAGGGCGGAAAGCGUGGGUAGCAAACAGGAUUAGAUACCCGAGUAGUC
rnacentral:rRNA from 1 species